GUUGGUAUAAAAAGCAGUGAGCAGCGCUUCUUCAAUCACUUCCUCCUGCAAACGGCGCAGAGAUGACAACAUCUCCGAAACAAACGGUUUAACAUGUGUGUCUCUGGGUGCUGCUUCAUCUCUGAGCUGAUGGCUGAAGUCCACACCAGCGCCGGGGAGAAAUGACCCUCCAGGCCACCGUAGUGAAGCUGCUGAUCAUGAAGGAUGAUGGGAUGAAAUCAUCGCCAAGCAGAAAUGAUUAACUUCGAUAUAGGGUGGAGUCGGUGCUCGUCGUGCUGUGGUCGACCUGCUGGAGCUGGCUAUUCCCUGGUAUGUAUGUUUGAUGUGAUGCAGGUAACCGGAUUAAAUCCUCCACAGAUGCUGAUCCACGUCUGUGAACCUGGUUUGAUGUGAUGCAGUGAAACUGAACUCCUCCAGAGAUGCUGAUCCACGUCUGUGAACCUGGGUGGAGUCGGUGUUCGUUGUGCUGUGGUCGACCUGCUGGAGCUGGCUAUUCCCUGGUUUAAUGUGAUGCAGUGAAACUGAUGAACUCCUCCAGAGAUGCUGAUCCACGUCUGUGAACCUGGUGGAAGAAACGACCAGGAGCCGAGGAUUCGUUUACCCCACAAUCUUUAUUGACUGUUUUUGUUGUUGACAAAGAAAUAAAGAUCACUGUUGACUAAA